GCAAAAAAAAAAAAGAGAAUGUUUUCCAAGGCUUCUUAUAAGAUGUCAGUGAAUCUUCAUAGUCUGAGUUGAGACCUUCUAAAACAAGCUUAAGGUAUGCUGAUUUGCAUACCUUUGACAAGGUUUAACUGACAUAUAAUUUAUAAAUAUCCACAGGAAUUUUUAAUGUUCCAUCAUAUCAUUUCUCAAUACUGGAUGUUCAUUAUUUUAUACUUUUGCUACUUUAAAUACCAAGAAGCCUUUUCACAGGAAGAAUAAAAUCUCCAUUAUCCUCCAGAGUGUAGGUAACAAAAUAUAAAAUUAAACCAGAUAUACGUUUGACAAACUAACACUGAAAAUCACCAAUAUUCAUAAUGACAUUACAUUAACAGUUAUCAUAAAGUCUAUAAAGUUUAUCCUUAGAUUUAUAAAAAAAUGCAGAUUGUCUCAAGGUAAAAAAUAUAGUAAGUGCUUUUUGCUAAAAAGCUCUUUGUUGAAUUAGGAUGUGUUAUAAUGAUCAAGACACCAGACAAUACUAAAUGUUACCCAAACUACAACACAACACACUUUGAACAUAAUUUAAGCCUAAAUUAUUCUGCACCAGCAGGAUUCUUUUUAGUGCCUGGCAGUAUAAAGCUUUAUAAAAGCUUUAUAAAAGCUUUUUUCUUAAAGGUAUUUAAGAAAAAAGACACAAAGUGUGAAUAACAAGUUAUGUGAAAAAAUUAAUACCAAUGAAGAUUAGCAGAGAGAAGUGAGGAAGGUGACCAUCUCUCCAUUCUGAUAAGAUGCCAUCUCUACACAUUACAUUCUUUUCAAGAAGUAGAACUUAAGAUUUAGGUAAAGAAAACUGGAAAAACCAGCCUGAAUGUGAAUAUCUAGUGUUAAAGCAACUUCCUAGAAUGAGUGAAUAAAGUUAAGAACAUAUAUAGUUUUCUACUGGAAAGUAAGAGUUUUUGAAGGCUUUCUUUUCUGCAAGGUUUGUAGUGUGACUGUUUUCCUACAAACUCAUUGAAUUCAGAGCUAAACAGUGGAAUUACAAGCAUAGCUCAAGAGGAACCCAGUCUGUUUCUGUUGUAGCAACCUAAGAUUUCUGUUAUGUUGUUGAAUCUGUGGUUGCUUCCUCAAUGACCAUUUCAAAUGACUCUGUCCUCUCAUCUGCUCAAAGCAGGAAGUCAAAUCAGGUUUUCCUUUUUCAUCAGAAGCAUCACCACACUUUCUGUUUGCGUUGAUGAGAUGGUACAGCAUAGUGACAUAUCCACAGAAAUCCUGCAAAUCCACUUUGCUCCUUAAUAUUUUCAAUGCUUUAUGGGCACCCAUACGACACAAGCAAACCCUCCUUGUGGUUUUAUUUUAUCAAAUGGAAAAGAUUUCUCUCAUCCCAUCAUUCAACAUUGUAAGCACAUGUGAAGCAUGAAUUACUUCAAGGAUCAUAACUCCAAGACAUAAUAAUAAUAUAGCAAGAAUAACAAUGGUGAAAUAUAUCUUGACAGUUUUUGAGAUCUUGUACCUUUGGAAAGUAAAAGAAACGGGGAUAUGACUUCUGGGGAUGACUUCUGGAUAACUGGUCUAAUAUGCUGAGGAGCUCUACUCUGAUGGAUUUGGAUUCAUUGGUGAGAGGAGCCAUGAAACAAGCAAUAUACAAUUCUUGUUUAGAACUCUGCUGCAAGUCACAGGUUCCAAAUCAAGAAGGCUUUCACAGUGUAAGAUACUGAGAAGAAAACCACAGUUGGGUUGUUUUGGUUGUGUGACCACAUCACUGAGACACAGACACAGUGUUGUGCUUUUCAGAACAAAGAAAAUUGAACUUCUUCAUCCCUGUGUAGAAUCUACACAUUUCGCUCAAGCAAAAACAAGUGAGGGCUGAAGAUGCUGAUCUAGUUGAUUUCCCAGUGUUCCCUGAAGCUUGCUUGAUAAAGAUUUCUAGGUCAUGACCCUGGAUCCUGAUUCAGAAGGAUGGAGUAGGACCCAGGAAUCUCUAUUUCACAAGAGUGGCACAAGUUCAAGAAUUGCUAUUGAGGAACCACUCAUCUAAUCUACCCCACUCUUUUCUUGGCUGGGGAAACUGAAGUCUAAGAAGGGAAAGGACACGUUCAGAGUCAGACUCUAAGUCUGUACCAGAAGCCCAUCAAGGACCUGGGUCAGUCCAGUGCUCUUUCCAUUGCCCCAUGUUGCUGUGCCAUACUAUUAUGUCCCUCCUUUUCAAACGCAAGAUGGUUAAAAAAAAAAAAAAAGGAAGAGGGUGAAAACAAUUGGUCUCUAUUUGUCAUAGGGGCUUGUCCGAAGGAACACAUUCAAAUG
rnacentral:lncRNA from 1 species